GACGAACCGUACUAACGUUAUUCGGAAUCACUGGGCUUAAAGGGUGCGUAGGCGGUGUGGAAAGUUGGGUGUGAAAUACCUCGGCUUAACCGAGGAACUGCAUUCAAAACUACCAUGCUAGAGGGAGACAGAGGUGAGCGGAACUUAGGGUGGAGCGGUGAAAUGCGUUGAUAUCCUAAGGAACACCGGUGGCGAAAGCGGCUCACUGGGUCUCUUCUGACGCUGAGGCACGAAAGCUAGGGUAGCGAACGGG
rnacentral:rRNA from 1 species